UACGUAGGGGGCUAGCGUUGUCCGGAAUCAUUGGGCGUAAAGCGCGUGUAGGCGGUCUGGUAAGUCUGCUGUGAAAGUCCAGGGCUCAACCCUGGAAUGCCGGUGGAUACUGUCAGGCUAGAGUGCGGAAGAGGCGAGUGGAAUUCCCGGUGUAGCGGUGAAAUGCGCAGAUAUCGGGAGGAACACCAAUUGCGAAGGCAGCUCGCUGGGACGUUACUGACGCUGAGACGCGAAAGCGUGGGGAGCGAACAGG
rnacentral:rRNA from 1 species